rfam:Eutrema salsugineum unplaced genomic scaffold scaffold_18, whole genome shotgun sequence.
AAACCAUGAUGAGGGCAGUCUCUCUCAUACUCUUUAAAUCGCUCCCAAGCUUCAUAAAAUGAUUCUAUUAGGUGUUUCUCAGCUGGUUCGAUCUUGACUGGGUGU